GACGUAGGGCGCGAGCGUUGUCCGGAUUCAUUGGGCGUAAAGAGCUCGUAGGCGGUUCGGCAAGUCGGGUGUGAAAACUCCAGGCUCAACCUGGAGACGCCACCCGAUACUGCUGUGACUCGAGUCCGGUAGGGGACCACGGAAUUCCUGGUGUAGCGGUGAAAUGCGCAGAUAUCAGGAGGAACACCGGUGGCGAAGGCGGUGGUCUGGGCCGGAACUGACGCUGAGGAGCGAAAGCGUGGGGAGCGAACAGG
rnacentral:rRNA from 1 species